AGUUUCAGAAGAUGAGGAUGAUGAUGUUGUUGUUAGGGCGCAACCCAAUAUGUCACCUCUUUCUGACACAGUGGUAGGUACAUCUCAGGAAUUUAGGUGUUCAGCAUGUCAGUGCUUACAGUACAGCUAUAAUGCAGUAAAAUCUCCUGGACUUGUCAAUCAUUAGAAAUAGCAAAGCAUAUACAGUGUUAAGGCUGUGAAUGAGAAGGUUAUAAUGUUUACACCUCACAGCUUUGGUCAAGUCCCGAAAGAAGUACACCAGAGCAUAGACAGUGGUCAGCCACAACAUCUGCGACAUCAACAUCCCAGUCAUCUAAUGAGCAAGCCAAGAGUGCAACAAGACCCAAACAUACAAC